rnacentral:sRNA from 1 species
UUGCUAUCUGCGAUAUGGAAGAUUCGAACCUGCCGCAGGUUCGGGUCUCACGUAGUGAGACAACAGAGCCGCUUGCGGCGACGGCCCGAAGGGCGAGCAAAGCGAGUCAUCCUGCACGACCCACCA